CUCUAGAAGUAUUUGUCAACAUGUUAUUGUGCGGCUGUCUGAAUAAAGGCAGGUUGUGGGUAGCCAGAGAGGUAGUCUGAAUAAAGGCAGGUUGUGGAGAGGUAGUCUGAAUAAAGGCAGGUUGUGGGUAGCUAGAGAGGUAGUCUGAAUAAAGGCAGGUUGUGGGUAGCUAGAGAGGUAGUCUGAAUAAAGGCAGGUUGUGGGUAGCUAGAGAGGUAGUCUGAAUAAAGGCAGGUUGUGGGUAGCCAGAGAGGUAGUCUGAAUAAAGGCAGGUUGUGGAGAGGUAGUCUGAAUAAAGGCAGGUUGUGGGUAGCUAGAGAGGUAGUCUGAAUAAAGGCAGGUUGUGGGUAGCUAGAGAGGUAGUCUGAAUAAAGGCAGGUUGUGGAGAGGUAGUCUGAAUAAAGGGAGGUUGUGGGUAGCUAGAGAGGUAGUCUGAAUAAAGGCAGGUUGUGGGUAGCUAGAGAGGUAGUCUGAAUAAAGGCAGGUUGUGGGUAGCCAGAGAGGUAGUCUGAAUAAAGGCAGGUUGUGGAGAGGUAGUCUGAAUAAAGGCAGGUUGUGGGUAGCUAGAGAGGUAGUCUGAAUAAAGGCAGGUUGUGGGUAGCUAGAGAGGUAGUCUGAAUAAAGGCAGGUUGUGGGUAGCUAGAGAGGUAGUCUGAAUAAAGGCAGGUUGUGGGUAGCUAGAGAGGUAGUCUGAAUAAAGGCAGGUUGUGGGUAGCUAGAGAGGUAGUCUGAAUAAAGGCAGGUUGUGGAGAGGUAGUCUGAAUAAAGGCAGGUUGUGGGUAGCUAGAGAGGUAGUCUGAAUAAAGGCAGGUUGUGGGUAGCUAGAGAGGUAGUCUGAAUAAAGGCAGGUUGUGGGUAGCUAGAGAGGUAGUCUGAAUAAAGGCAGGUUGUGGGUAGCUAGAGAGGUAGUCUGAAUAAAGGCAGGUUGUGGAGAGGUAGUCUGAAUAAAGGCAGGUUGUGGGUAGCUAGAGAGGUAGUCUGAAUAAAGGCAGGUUGUGGGUAGCUAGAGAGGUAGUCUGAAUAAAGGCAGGUUGUGGAGAGGUAGUCUGAAUAAAGGCAGGUUGUGGGUAGCUAGAGAGGUAGUCUGAAUAAAGGCAGGUUGUGGGUAGCUAGAGAGGUAGUCUGAAUAAAGGCAGGUUGUGGAGAGGUA